rnacentral:lncRNA from 12 species
UUUUCUUGAUUUUUCUUAAAUAAAGAUCGACUUCCCAGAAACUGAUGUGGAGUUCACGAAACCUGAACCUGAAGAAAGAAGAGGUGAUCUUGUAGAGCCAACCCAGGAGUGCCUGAAGCCCAGUGCAAGAGUUUCACAGAAAUUCUCUCGUGCUGCUCUCAGAGCAGCAGAGAAGGAUCUCGGGGUUUUAUCACUGCUCCUGCAGCAGCCAGAGCUGCUCCCUGCCUCUGGCGCUGGGCAGUGCACCCACCUGGGACAGCCCCACCCUGUCAGAAACGCACCCUUUGCUGAGGAACUGGGGAUUUUCCAGCCCUCCAGAGGCACUGGGGCUGCUGCCUUUCAGGUAAGGGAAAAUCACCCUUGUAGGAAAUAAGGAUAAAGGGCAGGAUCACGUCCUGGUUAAUUCAGUUUGCUCUGCACACUGCCCACGUUUGGUUCACUGGCUGUGCUGUUGUUUCUCUCUGGGUCAAAGUGGAAAUGGAGCUGCAGCUCCUGAGUGUGCCAGUGAUGCCUUCUUGGCUGAAAAGGUUUACUGUUCCUCAGGAUAAUGGAAAGAGAAUUUCAUUCUCUAGAACAGAUUCAGGCAGUUUCUGGUCGCAGGUGAUCAGUCAAUACUUAGCA